UUACAUGCGUCGCCGGAUGCAUGUAUCAUAAAUAAGCAUCGGACAUCUAUACCGUUAGGCCAUUGGGUAUAGAUGACUGGUGCUUUUUUUGU
rnacentral:ncRNA from 1 species